rnacentral:tRNA from 1 species
CAAAAUGUAGUUUAUAUAAAAUAUUAAUUUUGGAAAUUAAUGAAAUAAUUUUUAUUUUUUUGA